UGGAACAUCGCCAAGUGGUAAGGCGCCGGUCUUUGAAUCCGUCAUACGAAGGUUCGAAUCCUUCUGUUCCAA
rnacentral:tRNA from 3 species